AGUGAACGCUGGCGGUAGGCCUAACACAUGCAAGUCGAACGGCAGCACAGUAAGAGCUUGCUCUUACGGGUGGCGAGUGGCGGACGGGUGAGGAAUACAUCGGAAUCUACUUUUUCGUGGGGGAUAACGUAGGGAAACUUACGCUAAUACCGCAUACGACCUACGGGUGAAAGCAGGGGAUCUUCGGACCUUGCGCGAUUGAAUGAGCCGAUGUCGGAUUAGCUAGUUGGCGGGGUAAAGGCCCACCAAGGCGACGAUCCGUAGCUGGUCUGAGAGGAUGAUCAGCCACACUGGAACUGAGACACGGUCCAGCCUCCUACGGGAGGCAGCAGUGGGGAAUAUUGGACAAUGGGCGCAAGCCUGAUCCAGCCAUACCGCGUGGGUGAAGAAGGCCCUCGGGUUGUAAAGCCCUUUUGUUGGGAAAGAAAAGCAGCAGGUUAAUACCCCGCUGUUCUGACGGUACCCAAAGAAUAAGCACCGGCUAACUUCGUG
rnacentral:rRNA from 1 species